UGGGGAAUAUUGCGCAAUGGGGGGAACCCUGACGCAGCCAUGCCGCGUGAAUGAAGAAGGCCUUAGGGUUGUAAAGUUCUUUCGGUAUUGAGGAAGGCUGAUGUGUUAAUAGCACAUCAAAUUGACGUUAAAUACAGAAGAAGCACCGGCUAACUCCGUGCCAGCAGCCGCGGUAAUACGGAGGGUGCGAGCGUUAAUCGGAAUAACUGGGCGUAAAGGGCACGCAGGCGGUUAUUUAAGUGAGGUGUGAAAGCCCCGGGCUUAACCUGGGAAUUGCAUUUCAGACUGGGUAACUAGAGUACUUUAGGGAGGGGUAGAAUUCCACGUGUAGCGGUGAAAUGCGUAGAGAUGUGGAGGAAUACCGAAGGCGAAGGCAGCCCCUUGGGAAUGUACUGACGCUCAUGUGCGAAAGCGUGGGGAGCAAACAGGAUUAGAUACCCUGGUAGUCCACGCUGUAAACGCUGUCGAUUUGGGGGUUGGGGUUUAACUCUGGCGCCCGUAGCUAACGUGAUAAAUCGACCGCCUGGGGAGUACGGCCGCAAGGUUA
rnacentral:rRNA from 1 species